ACUACGGGUGGCAGCAGUGAGGAAUAUUGGUCAAUGGGCGCAAGCCUGAACCAGCCAAGUCGCGUGCGGGAUGACGGUCCUAUGGAUUGUAAACCUCUUUUGUCGGGGAGCAAGGCCCGCCACGUGUGGCGGUGAGGAGAGUACCCGAAGAAAAAGCAUCGGCUAACUCCGGGCCAGCAGCCGCGGUAAUACGGAGGAUGCGAGGGUUAUCCGGGUUUAUUGGGUUUAAAGGUGUCGUAGGGGGAGUGUUAAGUCAGUUGUGAAAGUUUGCGGCUCAACCGUAAAAUUGCAGUUGAACAUGGCGGUCUUGAGUACAGUAGAGGUGGGCGGAAUUCGUGGUGUAGCGGUGAAAUGCAUAGAUAUCACGCAGAACUCCGAUUGCGAAGGCAGCAUACCGGCGCCCAACUGACGCUGAAGCACGAAAGCGUGGGUAUCGAACAGGAUUAGAUACCCUAGUAGUC
rnacentral:rRNA from 1 species